UAGGAGAGAAGUGUGUUACUAAAUAAAAUAGUUGUAGCUCCUUUAAUUUGAGAAUCUAGCCCCUGUUCCUAUAUUGAACCUAUCUAAUCUCUGAUUCUUUAGACAGUAACGGGAAGUCAUUCUUAUUUAUUUAGUUUUUUAGCGUGCUAUAGGAAAUUGAUUAGAAAACUUCUUCCUGCCUUCUGUCAUUCAGGUGGGAAUACAGAAGCCUCUGGGCUCUGCAAGGCCACCAUAUCCUGUGGCUUUCCUCCUCCUUACUGCCAUUGCACAUACGCUGGACAGACCCUGAGGCCUGUCUCUUUAAGGUCUCAGUCUGAGUCACCUUCCCUCUAAGAAAAGAAACCUAGACACAUGGCAGCCAUCAUGUCUGAGUCACUCAUGUUUUAUACUGAAACUGAUAAUUCCUAUUAACCGGCGACUUUAAUUUCAAUCCAACAGGAUUUGUUUUCUUCUCAAAGUGUGAGUAAGUUAAAAGGUGCAUCUCUGCUGCCUAGCAGGCUCCCCACGUCGGUUUCCUUGUCUGAUGAUGAAGAUGAAGAGUCUAGAGGAUGGAUCCAUGUUAUACCCAAUGACCUGCAAGAAUGUCUUGGACCAAGUGGGGAUGCAAAGGAGAAGGCAGCCAUGUCCUGACCAUUGUGUUUCUUUCCCAUCCUGGAUGGAGAGCACAAAGUGGGGAAGAGAAAUAAGACAGAAGACACCUCAAACCUUAACCUUCUGCAGUACUGGGCAGUGGUGAGCUCAUAGGCUUUGCUAUCAGACCCCUGGGUUCAUAUCCCAGCCCCACCACUUGCAAACCAGGGACCUGGAGCAAGUAACUUAACCUUCCUUAAGCUCAUAUGGCUUAACAGUGAGUAGGGUCAUUGUGGCAGCUGUAACUACUAGUGUAAAGCUCUUGCAGAGUGCCUGCACAUAGUAAGUGCAUAGUGAAUGAGAGCUCUGUCAUUAUUAUCCCCAUUGGACACCAGCUCAUUAUUCUCCUGGCCUGUCCUACUUUACCAUACUCCCCUUAAAGGCUCCCUUCAUUCAUCUUCACAUUCCAGGCCUGUUCACCUGCUGUUAAGAGUUUUUCCAUCCUAACUCAGACUCAGGCCCUCUGAUGCUUUUGUUCCCCUUACCUGAAUAAAAUCACCUUAAUAAAUAUAACUUUUGGG
rnacentral:lncRNA from 1 species